ensembl:misc_RNA 7SK 7SK RNA
CGAUUGAUCGAUCUAUCUGUACAUCUGUCACUAUUGAUCGCCAGGGUUGAUUUGGCUGAUCCGGCUGGCUAGGCCGGUGUCCCCUUCCUCCCUCACCACUCCAUAUGCAUUCCUCCUGAAGCUGCAGGCUCGGUUGAAAAGGACAACCUUCCUGGAUAGAGGGGGACCUUUCUUCAGUCAAGGGUAUACGAGUAGCUGCGCUCUCCUGCUGGAACCUCCAAACAAGCUCUCAAGGUCCAAGUCUGCAGUAUCUCUGAGGUAUGGUUGUAGCUGUACUUUCUUUCAUAAGCCACAGACAUCAUGUUAGGUAUAUUUU